rnacentral:rRNA from 1 species
CAGCAGCCGCGGUAAUACGUAGGGUGCGAGCGUUAAUCGGAAUUACUGGGCGUAAAGCGUGCGCAGGCGGUUUUGUAAGACAGAGGUGAAAUCCCCGGGCUCAACCUGGGAACUGCCUUUGUGGCUGCAAGGCUAGAGUACGGCAGAGGGGGAUGGAAUUCCGCGUGUAGCAGUGAAAUGCGUAGAUAUGCGGAGGAACACCGAUGGCGAAGGCAAUCCCCUGGGCCUGUACUGACGCUCAUGCACGAAAGCGUGGGGAGCAAACAGGAUUAGAUACCCCGGUAGUCCCUGUCUCUUAUAC